rnacentral:lncRNA from 1 species
UUGGCUUAGCCAGUAGUCAGAAAGACGAAAGGGUAAAUAUCCUUCCUAGCUGGGAUGUUCAUGAAGUGAUAUGAUUAAAAACUAAAGAAUAGAACUUUUCAGUUAUAUGUAGAUUAUUGUGCAUUUGAAAUUCGAUUAUAUAAAUUAAUAUUUCCACAAUUGUUUGUAUGAUGCUCACUUUGUAAAAGCGUGGACUGUGUGACGAUGCCUUUUACAAUGCUGAUAAAACCAGACAUCAGUUAUAAAAGCUGAACAUCUCUUUAAUGUGUGUGUGUGUGUGUGUGUUUCAGCGUGGUCAGGUGCGGCGGCGGUAUGAGUCUCCAGGUGUGUGUUCAGAUGAUGAUGUGAACAGUGAUGCGUCGAGUGUGUGCUCUGAGCGAUCCUUCAGUUCUCGUAACGGGAGUGCGGCCCCACAUCACCUGCGCCAGACAGAGGACGUGGCGGAAAUCCUGAACCGCUGCGCCAGCGCUAACUGCACUGAGAGGAAAGAGGGACUGAUGAGCCUUCAGAACCUGCUGAAGAACCAGAGAGUGCUCAGUCGUGUGGAGCUGAAGCGCCUGUGUGAAAUCUUCACCAGGAUGUUUGCUGAUCCACACAGCAAGGUGACUUUGAUCUGAACACAUUCAUACAGUCACAUGACUUCUGAUAGAUCUGAUGAUUAAUAAACAUUCAUGCUUUACUGUUCCACGCUCUGCUGAUUGGCCGAUUGAUCAGAGAGUAAGUCUUUACUUUCACUUUGAAUACAAUGAGUGUGUGAGCUUGUGUGCAUGUGUGUUUGUGCACAUAUAUGUCUGUGCAUUUGUUUCUGUAUGUGUAUAUAAAAUGUGUCAGUGUGUGUAUAAACUGUUUUGUGUGUGUGUGUGUGUGUGCAGGUGUUCAGCAUGUUUCUGGAGACUCUGCUGGACUUCAUCUCUCUGCACAGAGAGGAUCUGCAG